UAACCUACUAAAGGACUGCCGAAGACAGUAGGUGCUUGAAAGAGCGUAAGAACACAUUUUAUGCGGACGCCUACCGAGGAAAGAUCGAUACUAAAGUAUGACUUAUCAACCUCUAUGUCUUUGGAUAUAGAGGUUUUUUUACAUUUAU
rfam:Dorea longicatena CAG:42 genomic scaffold, scf85